GAUGAACGCUAGCUACAGGCUUAACACAUGCAAGUCGAGGGGUAACAAGAGAAAAGCUUGCUUUUCUUGUUGACGACCGGCGCACGGGUGAGUAACGCGUAUCCAACCUGCCUAUAACUAGGGAAUAACCUUGCGAAAGUAAGACUAAUACCCUAUGAUUUCCUUUGAUGGCAUCGGAUUAGGAAUAAAGAUUUAUCGGUUAUAGAUGGGGAUGCGUCUGAUUAGCUUGUUGGCGGGGUAACGGCCCACCAAGGCAACGAUCAGUAGGGGUUCUGAGAGGAAAGUCCCCCACAGUGGAACUGAGACACGGUCCAAACUCCGACGGGAGGCAGCAGUGAGGAAUAUUGGUCAAUGGGCGGAAGCCUGAACCAGCCAAGUGGCGUGCAGGAUGACGGCCCUAUGGGUUGUAAACUGCUUUUAUACAGGAAUAAAGUUAGCCACGUGUGGUUAUUUGUAGGUACUGUAUGAAUAAGGACCGGCUAAUUCCGUGCCAGCCGCCGCCGUAA
rnacentral:rRNA from 1 species